GAUAAGUAAUGDGANUUGCAGAAUUCAGUGAAUCAUCGAAUCUUUGAACGCACCUUGCGCUCCUHGGUAUUCCGAGGAGCAUGCCUGUUUGAGUGUCG
rnacentral:rRNA from 1 species